ACUGCAUAGUUCGAAAUCGUGAAAGCGUCGUGCUUCGGCUGUUACACUUAUGGAUCGGACCCGCGUCGCAUUAGCUAGUUGGUGAGGUAACGGCUCACCAAGGCAACGAUGCGUAAGCCGACCUGAAGAGGGUGAUCGGCCACACUGGGACUGAGACACGGCCCAGACUCCUAGCGGGAGGCAGCAGUAGGGAAUCUUCCGCAAUGGACGAAAGUCUGACGGAGCAACGCCGCGUGAGUGAUGAAGGCUUUCGGGUCGUAAAACUCUGUUGUUAGGGAAGAACAAGUGCUAGUUGAAUAAUGCUGGCACCUUGACGGUACCUAACCAGAAAGCCACGGCUAACUACGUGCCAGCAGCCGCGGUAAUACGUAGGUGGCAAGCGUUAUCCGGAAUUAUUGGGCGUAAAGCGCGCGCAGGUGGUUUCUUAAGUCUGAUGUGAAAGCCCACGGCUCAACCGUGGAGGGUCAUUGGAAACUGGGAGACUUGAGUGCAGAAGAGGAAAGUGGAAUUCCAUGUGUAGCGGUGAAAUGCGUAGAGAUAUGGAGGAACACCAGUGGCGAAGGCGACUUUCUGGUCUGUAACUGACACUGAGGCGCGAAAGCGUGGGGAGCAAACAGGAUUAGAUACCCUGGUAGUCCACGCCGUAAACGAUGAGUGCUAAGUGUUAGAGGGUUUCCGCCCUUUAGUGCUGAAGUUAACGCAUUAAGCACUCCGCCUGGGGAGUACGGCCGCAAGGCUGAAACUCAAAGGAAUUGACGGGGGCCCGCACAAGCGGUGGAGCAUGUGUUUUAAUUCGAAGCAACGCGAAGAACCUUACCAGGUCUUGACAUCCUCUGAAAACUCUAGAGAUAGAGCUUCUCUUUCGGGAGCAGAGUGACAGGUGGUUGCAUGGUUGUUCGUCUGCUCGUGUCAUGAGAUGUUGGGUUUAGUACCGCAACCAGCGCAACCCUUGAUCCUUAUUUGCCUUCAUUAAGUUUGUGCACUCUAGGGUGACUGCCGGUGACCGACCCGAGUAGAAAGUGGGGGAUUGACGUUCGAUUCAUCAUGCCCCUUAUGGACCUGGCCUUACACACGUGCUUACAUUGAACGGUUCAUAAGAGCUGCAAGACCUAGCGGUUGAAACGUAAUUGCUUAUAGAAACAGCUUCUUUCUACUCUACGAUAUUGUACUUGGAGUCU
rnacentral:rRNA from 2 species